CACGUUGGUGCAAACGCAUACAGACACACACACGCGCGUGCGCAUGCGAUGCAGUGAAACUCUUGUCAGAGUAGCCUAUAAUCUCUGUUAACCCAGAAGUCAGCUGCAUGGUUAACUUCUGUGUUCAUACAAAUUGAGAGUUCUGGCAGAAACGAAGUCCCCCCCCCCCCCAUGUGGGCACAGGCACGAAGCACUCAAGACGAAGCAGUUUAAGUACCGCCUUCACCCAAUCCUGAUAUGUCCAAAUAACCAGUGACAAAACCCCAAAAAUGGAACUAAUGCUGCUGUUAUCUCUUGCAUCCCAGUCAGUCCUAUCAGAUUCUCUCAGUCUACAUGCAGAAUCAUGGGAGAUGAAGUACUAUGGAAUGUAAAUUCAUGGUAAAAAAGUAGUAUACCCAGCCAGUAUGGUACUUCUAGGAACUUCUCUCAGCUACAUAAACAUUGAUUUAAACAACUGUAUCACAAUUGACGUGGAACAAUUGAGUUUAAAAGUAAAUGUUCUUAGUGACCUCAGAAGACCCCUUGCACACAGAGGUUUAGCCCUUAGCCUCACUAUCCUAUUACAGUAGUGUAGUAUUAGUGUAGUGUUAGUGUAGUAUUAGUGUAGUGUUAGUGUAGCGUUAGUGUAGUCUUAGUGUAGUCUUAGUGUAGUGUUAGUGUAGUGUUUGUGUAGUAUUAGUGUAGUGUUAGUGUAGUCUUAGUGUAGUGUUAGUGUAGUGUUCGUGUAGUAUUAGUGUAGUGUUAGUGUAGUAUUAGUGUAGUGUUUGUGUAGUGUUAGUGUAGUGUUAGUGUAGUCUUAGUGUAGUGUUCGUGUAGUAUUCGUGUAGUAUUAGUGUAGUGUUAGUGUAGUAUUAGUGUAGUAUUAGUGUAGUGUUAGUGUAGUAUCAGUGUAGUGUUGGUGUAGUGUUAGUGUAGUAUUAGUAUAAUGUUAGUGUGGUGUUAGUGUAGUAUUAGUGUAGUAUCAGUGUAGUGUUAGUGUAGUGUUAGUGUUAGUGUAGUGUUAGCGUAGUAUUAGUGUAGUGUUAGUGUAGUAUUAGUGUAGUGUUAGUGUAGUAUUGGUGUAGUGUUAGUGUAGUAUUAGUGUAAUGUUAGUGUGGUGUUAGUGUAGUAUUAGUGUGGUGUUAGUGUAGUAUUAGUGUAGUGUUAGUGUAGUAUUAGUGUAGUGUUAGUGUAGUAUUUGUGUAGUGUUAGUGUAGUAUUAGUGUAAUGUUAGUGUGGUGUUAGUGUAGUAUUAGUGUAGUGUUAGUGUAGUAUUAGUGUAGUAUCAGUGUAGUGUUGGUGUAGUAUUAGUGUAGUAUUAGUGUAGUGUUAGUGUAGUGUUGUGUUAGUGUAGUAUUAGUGUAGUAUUAGUGCAGUGUUAGUGUGGUGUUAGUGUAGUGUUAGUGUAGUGUUAGUGUAGUGUUAUUGUAGUAUUAGUGUAGUAUUCGUGUAGGAUUAGUGUAGUGUAGUUGUAGUGUAGUGUUAGUGUAGUGUUAGUGUAGUGUUAGUGUAGUAUUAGUGUAGUAUUAUUGUAGUAUUAGUGUAGUGUUAGUGUUGUAUUAGUGUAGUGUUAGUGUAGUAUUGGUGUAGUGUUAGUGUAGUAUUAGUGUAGUGUUAGUGUUAGUGUAGUAUUAGUGUAGUGUUAGUGUAGUAUUAGUGUAGUGUUAGUGUAGUGUUCGUGUAGUAUUAGUGUAGUGUUAGUGUAGUGUUAGUGUAGUAUUAGUGUAGUAUUAGUGUAGUGUUAGUGUAGUGUUAGUUUAGUGUUAGUGUAGUAUUAGUGUAGUGUUAGUGUAGUAUUAGUGUAGUAUUAGUGUAGUGUUAGUGUAGUGUUCGUGUAGUAUUAGUGUAGUGUUAGUGUAGUAUUAGUGUAGUAUUAGUGCAGUGUUAGUGUAGUAUUGGUGUAGUAUUAGUGUAGUGUUAGUGUAGUGUUAGUGUAGUAUUAGUGUAGUAUUAGUGUGGUGUUAGUGUAGUGUUAGUGUAGUGUUAGUGUAGUAUUGGUGUAGUGUUAGUGUAGUAUUAGUGUAGUGUUAGUGUAGUGUUAGUUUAGUGUUAGUGUAGUAUUAGUGUAGUGUUAGUGUAGUAUUAGUGUAGUAUUAGUGUAGUGUUAGUGUAGUGUUCGUUUAGUAUUAGUGUAGUGUUAGUGUAGUAUUAGUGUAGUAUUACAUAAUUAACCAGAGUGCAGGGGUGAGAUAAGGACCACCAUGCAGUCAAGGUUUAUACUACAGGGGUGCCUGGCAGUCCCAUAACAAAUCAGGGCACGUUCAUAAACAUGAAAUAUUAACGCAACACCCCCAGAAGUGUUAAAGGUACAACCUGUAAUUUGACCAGCCUGACCCUGCCACUUGGUUUGGUAAACAGGGAUGAGGCUGGGAGAAAUGGAACCACUCUCAUAUUCAGAUGGACUAUGAAUUCCAAGACUAAGAGUCCAUAAGAAUGACUUAUAGUGUUAACCAUAUGUUCAAGAUAUACAUGGUUUGUUUACAAUGGUUUAUUGUAAAGACCAAGGGCCAGUUUAAUGGAAACUGACCUGUUAGUCCUGGACUAGGCCUGGAAACUAGCCCCGAGAGGCAAUCAAGUCAGCUAUCACAAUGUUUUCACAUUAGUAUAACUAUAUGAACAGCUGGACUAACCACACUGAAUUCCCUAUAUGUAGCUAUACUAAUGUGAUCUUAAUUGGUAAAUGAAAGACCCUAUUAGGUAGGACUGGCGGAAAGGGUUCAGCUGUGUGUCUGUGCAGUCUCUCUUGGUAGACGUUUCCUAUAGCAGAUCUAGGAUCAGCUUACCCUACCAACACAUUUCACCUUAAUCAUUAGGGUUAAAAACUCAACACUGUCCUCAGAUCAGUGUUUAUGGGCAACUUCAUUCAAGUCCUCUGAGUCACAGUGAGUGUGAGCAAUAGGUUGACAGGCCAUACCUCGUGGGCCGGGUUUAUAUACACCGGUGUGACUGGACAGUGUCUGG
rnacentral:lncRNA from 1 species